UAAUAUUUGUGAUAACUACGU
rnacentral:piRNA from 1 species